GAUGAACGCUGGCGGCGUGCCUAAUACAUGCAAGUCGAGCGAACAGACCAGGAGCUUUCUCCUCUGACGUUAGCGGCGGACGGGUGAGUAACACGUGGAUACCCUCCUUAUAAGACUGGGAGAACAUCGGGAAACCUGACCUAAUACCGGCAAAUACAUUUAACCGCUUGGUUCAAUAGUUAUAGACUUUUUUUGUGUCACUUAUAGAUGAGUUCGUGCCUGAUUAGCUAGUUUGGAAGGUAGCGGCCUACCAAGGCGACGAUGCGUAUCCGACCUGAGAGGCGGAUCGGCCACACGGGAACUGAGACACGGUCCAGACUCCUACGGGAGGCAGCAGUAGGGAAUCGUCCGCAAUGGGCGAAAGCCUGACGGAGCAAGGCCGCGUGAGUGAUGAAGGUCUUCGGAUCGUAAAGCCCUGUUAUGAGGGAAGAACAAAUGUGAGAGUAAAUAUGCACGUCUUGACGGUACCUAAUGAAAAAGCCACGGCUAACUACGUG
rnacentral:rRNA from 1 species